rnacentral:rRNA from 1 species
GACGAACGCUGGCGGCGUGCCUAAUACAUGCAAGUCGAACGCACUCUCGUUUAGAUUGAAGGAGCUUGCUCCUGAUUGAUAAACAUUUGAGUGAGUGGCGGACGGGUGAGUAACACGUGGGUAACCUGCCCUAAAGUGGGGGAUAACAUUUGGAAACAGAUGCUAAUACCGCAUAAAACCUAACACCGCAUGGUGUAGGGUUGAAAGAUGGUUUCGGCUAUCACUUUAGGAUGGACCCGCGGUGCAUUAGUUAGUUGGUGAGGUAAAGGCUCACCAAGACCGUGAUGCAUAGCCGACCUGAGAGGGUAAUCGGCCACACUGGGACUGAGACACGGCCCAGACUCCUACGGGAGGCAGCAGUAGGGAAUCUUCCACAAUGGACGAAAGUCU